rnacentral:rRNA from 1 species
UACGUAGGGUGCGAGCGUUAAUCGGAAUUACUGGGCGUAAAGCGUGCGUAGGCGGUUCGCUGUGUCCGAUGUGAAAGCCCCGGGCUUAACCUGGGAAUGGCAUUGGAAACUGGCGGGCUUGAGUGCGGCAGAGGGGGGUGGAAUUCCGCGUGUAGCAGUGAAAUGCGUAGAGAUGCGGAGGAACACCGAUGGCGAAGGCAGCCCCCUGGGUCGACACUGACGCUCAGGCACGAGAGCGUGGGGAGCAAACAGG